rnacentral:lncRNA from 1 species
UCGCAGUUUACUCGUCGAUGUUUUCGCAGUGUGAUUAAAUCAGGCGUUGUUUGCGCUCGUGGGGCCGGAACAAAGGCCCGUCAAAUUACGCGCGAAAAAAGUACGCAGUCCAUUUUUAUUGACCGGCUGAGGAGAAAUGAGGUUUCCCGUUCACUAAGAUCAAAACAAAGUAGUUGGACUCUCCGCUCAGAAAAAUGCCUCGCUAUGACCCGAAGUAGACUCGUUUCAAAACUCAAAUCAGUCUGCCGUAUUUUCAUCCCAAGCCCUUUACAAGAAAAACACUCAAAAAAUACUGAAGAACGUUCAGUUCAGUUCCCAGUUUCCUGAGUCCCCUCUGAGCUUCAUCGGUGGAAGUGACGUUGCCUGGAAUCAAUCGGUGUAAACACAAACAGCGAUCUCCUGUUUGUUUACCCGGCGCGAGAAUAUUAAA